GGAUCCUAAAGCUUUGGGACACAUUUGCUUUGCAUUCCUAAGAGACUAUGAGAAGUGAAGUUCACUGAGAAGGAGGGGAGGAAGACAUUUCCUCUACCCGCUGUGGGUUCUUCUGGCUGGAGAACAAAUUAAAUUCACAUGACACAGAAUAACAGGAGAAAAUUAAACAAAGCUUUACAACAUGUGUACAUGGGAGAGGCUCAGGCAAGCUGAGCAACUUGCCAAAAUGGCUGAAGCCACCACCUUAAAUAUCAUCUUCAGGCAGAAGAAGCAAGCAAGAUGAUAAGAAGAGCCUGGCCUGUUAUGGAAACUGCAAACACAGAAUUUGAGAAGGCUUGUGCAUGGGGUGUGUGCUGGGAAAUAGCUCAAGAUGAAGCUGGAAAGCUGAAGUUAUGGGUUGGUUUCCACGAACCUGACUCGCCUUUACUCCAUUCCCUGGCUACACAGACUGCAAAUUAUGCUGCCUCUCACAUGAAGAUUGAGUAAGGGGCAGAGAAGACAGACCUGUUAAAACCCAUCCCACUGGGAACAAAGCAACUCAAAAGGCACCACUUCCAAGAGGGCCGGUGGCAUCAACCAGAAAGGGAGCACAUCCUUAGUACAUGUUUCUGCGAUGGUGAAAGUAGCCUUCCUUGGUUCAACAACAGAAGCAACAAAAAGAAAUAAGAAGACAUGCAGCUGAAGGGUUUUGAUUAGAUUUGAGGAACAGUUUUCUCCUCAAAGAAGCUGUUUGA
rnacentral:lncRNA from 1 species